CCGUCGCGAAGGAUCCUCUCCCCCCGUCUUCGUCUUCGCAGGUAGGGGCUCUCUCCUCCAUCCAGACCCUCUCAUUCACCGCCGCCGUCUCGGACGUUCGUUGACCCUUUACUGUCGCAAGGGUUACCGCACCCACACUGGCGCCGCUACUUCGUCGUGAAGGUUCCUCUGCUCCCCCAUGUCGUGUCGUCAUCUUCCCAGAUAUCCGUAUCAACUCGGAGGUCUUCGUCUUUGGUUCCAAGAUCCAGUGCAACCAAGGUAAUGUGAUACUCAAUUUGUUGCGCACUAUACUGUCAACAGGUGCUGACCCAAUUUUUGUUUAUGGUUUACUUGGGAUACCAUUCAUCUGUUGUGUCACUAUUAUUUAUUGACGGAUUAGUUCAUACUUUGUUAGUUACUACCUGUAGUUUGUAUGGUUUACUCGGGGUCUUUAUUACUUUGUUUAUCACAACCUUUUGUUUGUUCAGGGUUGAGUUCAUACUUUGUUAGUUACUACCUGUAUGUUAGUACCUUCAACCAAAGUUUGUCCAUCUUAGCACGCAAUUCAUGUGAAUAAAUGGAAGUUAGUAGAUUGUCCCCUUGUCUAGUUCACUAACCACCUAAAUCCACAUCAGAUGGAUUCAGCAGACUCCAUAGCCGACAAGGCAAUUGGAAGGAUGCAAGAGAUUGCGGACAAGAUUUAUUCCGUAGCUCGGGAAACAAUCCGUCCAGGACGCGGGUUGACCUCCUUUGACGCUACCAAACUUCGUGUAGCAUUGGAGGACAUUGCUUGCAUGAUGGAGCAAGAUUCUCUGGUUUUCCAAGAGUAUUUGGACAAGGUCAACAACGUAACCCACCAGCCUGAGAGCAACUACGAACCCUCAGAGUUGUCCUCACCACCCCCCGGUGAAGACAACCUUAGUCCAGACUGGGACUUUGCCGAGCACUUCGAAAGGUUUUGGGGAAUUGAAUAUGACUCCGAUCAGAUGCCUUCCUUUAGUGACAAUGAGGUUUAAGUUAGAACUUCGUUCAACUUGUAGUAAGGUCUUAGUGAAACAGGGAUAUGAUCAGGCUUUUGCUUAAUGGGCUGGUGUAAAUGUCUUCCCUGUCAUUUUGUGUCCAGUACCUGUUUAAUUAACGUUGUCUUUGUGUAAUUUAGGAAAUCCGAAUUUUACAACUUAUGGUACUACCUUAUGUUAUUAUGGUCAGUUCAGUGUUGUUUUUGUUUUCUUCUUAACUCGAGACCACUACGUAUUUUCAAAACUCUACACUUGUUUUGCACUAGAUGGACAAGUCUGGCAAAGUGAUUGCAAAGUGGGAUAGUAGAGCAACAAAAACUUACAUAGAAAUUUGUGUAGAAGAGGUCAAUGUCCGGAACAGGCCACAACACUUUCUUAAUGCAGAAGGGUAUGCUAACCUCAUAAGGAAGUUUAAGGAACGCACUGGUCGCACUUACACCAGGGAUCAAAUGAAGAAUAGGUGGGACUCCUUAAAGAGAAUGUUCACACAGUGGAAAACUCUUAAUGAAAGGGCUACAGGUCUUGGUCGAGACCCUCAUACUGGUUCAAUCAGUGCGCCAGAUGAGUGGUGGGCUAAGCAAAAUGAAGCAAUGCCAGGUUGUAUUAUGUUCAAAACAGUCCCCCUAGAGAACGAGGACGAGCUAAAGGUUAUGUUUGGACCCAUUGUCUGCAUAAAUGAAAGAACCCUUGUUCCUAGCGUUGAGGAUGCUAAUUCAUCAUCUGAUGAUCAUUUGGAAGCCACUUUAGGUGGGGGUGAAAACAGCACACCUGACCCAUGCACAAAUGCGACUGGGAAGCGUAAGAUGCGGCAUGAUUCUCCUAAACCAAAGAAGAAAAAAGAUUCGAGGGAAGAGUACAUGAAACGCCUAGUGGAGGCUUUUGAGUCGCGUUCAAUGACCACUAACAAGUCCAUUACCUCUGCUGACACGGACCCAGUUCGUGUUGAGGUUAUUGCGCAGUUGCAACAAGUUAUCGAUGAUAAGGAAUAAGUUUGGUCACUCCUUGGAAACAAUUAGUCGCAAGUAUAGUGAAGUCCUUAAUGCACUGUAUAAGAUGUCAUCUGACAUAAUCAAGCCCAAAGACCCAAAUUUCAUCGAGACUCAUCCUCGUUUGCGCGAGGCGAGAUUUUGGCCACACUUCAAGGAUUGCAUAGGAGCAAUUGAUGGUAGUCACUUUCUGGCGUCAGUCCCGGCCUCAGAGCAAGCCAAAUAUAUUGGCCGGCACGGUUACGCAUCGCAGAAUGUAAUGGCCGUUUGUGACUUCGAUAUGAGGUUUACAUUUGUUGUCACAGGAUGGCCAGGAUCCGUACAUGACACUAGAGUAUUACAAGAUACUUUGAUAACUUAUGCGGACAGGUUCCCCCAUCCACCGGAAGGUAAAUACUAUCUUGUCGAUUCAGGCUAUCCAAAUAGAAAGGGGUACCUUGCACCUUAUAAGGGUCAGAAGUACCACAUUUCGGAAUGGCAAAAUGCGAGACAACCUAUUGGGAGCAAAGAAGUAUUCAACUAUGCACACUCUUCGCUACGCAAUGUUAUAGAGCGAUCGUUUGGGGUGCUUAAAAUGAAGUGGAGAGUGCUAUUAAGUCUCCCUUCUUUUUCGCUUACCAAACAAUCCAAGAUAAUUAUUGCUUGUAUGACAUUGCAUAACUUCAUUAGAGAUAGUGCUCUACACGAUAGAGACUUUGAUGAACUAGGACCUAAUACCCUCAGUCAUGAUGUACCUUCAGGUGAGAGUAGUAGUAGCACAUCUGAUGAGUUAGACAUGAGUGAUUUUCAAGAUGCAAUUGCUAAUGCAUUAGUGUCGUAGUUAACUAUGUCAAUGUAACGAUACUUAUGAUGUAAUCAACUCCA